rnacentral:rRNA from 1 species
UACGGAGGGAGCUAGCGUUGUUCGGAAUUACUGGGCGUAAAGCGCUCGUAGGCGGCUUCGCAAGUUAGAGGUGAAAGCCCGGGGCUCAACUCCGGAAUUGCCUUUAAAACUGCAUCGCUAGAGUUGUGGAGAGGUAAGUGGAAUUCCGAGUGUAGAGGUGAAAUUCGUAGAUAUUCGGAAGAACACCAGUGGCGAAGGCGACUUACUGGACACAUAUUGACGCUGAGGUGCGAAAGCGUGGGGAGCAAACAGG